rnacentral:snoRNA from 10 species
AUGAGCUGAGGAUGAUUUAAAGUUAUCCCUGUCUGAAAUGGUAUCUUUUGUGAGGAGGUCUGACUUGCUGAGGCUCAG